rnacentral:rRNA from 1 species
GGUUGAUCCUGCCAGUAGUCAUAUGCUUGUCUUAAAGACUAAGCCAUGCAUGUCUAAGUAUAAAUAUUAUACAGUGAAACUGCGAAUGGCUCAUUAAAACAGUUAUAGUUUAUUCGAUAAUUUCUCCUACAUGGAUAACCGUAGUAAUUCUAGAGCUAAUACAUGCUGUCAAACCUGACUUCUUGGAAGGGUUGUAUUUAUUAGAUAUCUUAUUUACAACUGGCUGAUUGACAUGAUAGUCUUCUUUUAUCCCUUUUGUUUAAUAUGAGAUUAUAACAGAUAUUCCACCUU